GACGAACGCUGGCGGCGUGCUUAACACAUGCAAGUCGAACGAUGAUGCCAGCUUGCUGGUGGAUUAGUGGCGAACGGGUGAGUAACACGUGGGUGAUCUGCCCCAAACUUUGGGAUAAGCCUGGGAAACUGGGUCUAAUACCGGAUAGUACCUUCCCUUGCAUGGGGGUUGGUGGAAAGCUCCGGCGGUUUGGGAUGGGCCCGCGGCCUAUCAGCUUGUUGGUGGGGUAAUGGCCUACCAAGGCGACGACGGGUAGCCGGUCUGAGAGGGCGACCGGCCACACUGGGACUGAGACACGGCCCAGACUCCUACGGGAGGCAGCAGUGGGGAAUAUUGCACAAUGGGCGCAAGCCUGAUGCAGCGACGCCGCGUGAGGGAUGACGGCCUUCGGGUUGUAAACCUCUUUCACCAGGGACGAAGCGUGAGUGACGGUACCUGGAGAAGAAGCACCGGCCAACUACGUG
rnacentral:rRNA from 1 species